AGCAGCCGCGGUAAUUCCAGCUCCAAUAGCGUAUAUUAAAGUUGUUGCAGUUAAAAAGCUCGUAGUUGAAUUUCGGGAUCAGUUGAUCGGUCGUGCCUCGGUACGUACUGGUCAAAUUGAUUUCCUACCUUCUGACGAACCACGAUGUCAUUAAUUUGGUGUCGUGGGAAAUCAGGACUGUUACUUUGAAAAAAUUAGAGUGUUUAAAGCAGGCUCGCGCUUGAAUACAUUAGCAUGGAAUAAUGAAAUAGGACGUUUGAUUCUAUUUUGUUGGUUUCUAGGAUCGACGUAAUGAUUAAUAGGGAUAGUUGGGGGCAUUAGUAUUCAAUUGUCAGAGGUGAAAUUCUUGGAUUUAUUGAAGACUAACUACUGCGAAAGCAUUUGCCAAGGAUGUUUUCAUUAAUCAAGAACGAAAGUUAGGGGAUCGAAGACGAUCAGAUACCGUCGUAGUCUUAACCAUAAACUAUGCCGACUAGGGAUCGGAUGAUGUUAAUUUUUUAAUGACUCAUUCGGCGCCUUACG
rnacentral:rRNA from 1 species